UGGUUUCGAUUGACCUCAUGGGCCCUCUGCCUAUCACUCGGAAACAAAACCAAUAUAUCCUGGUCAUAACUUGUUGUUUUUCAAAAUUUUGCUUGAUUUUCCCUAUUCGUAAUGCCACUUCAAUUAUAAUCACCAAAAUAAUAGAGGACCAACUCUUUUUAGUUCAUGGGGUUCCUCAAACAAUUUUUCUCGACAACGGCAGUCAAUUCACAAGCGGCAUGACCGUAGAUUUGUUUAAAAAAUAUAAUGUACCCAAUGUAUUCUAUACGCCUAGAUACACACCGCAGGUUAAUCCCGUCGAGCGUCAGAAUCGCACAAUUGUCACUUGCUUAUCAACAUUUGUCAAUGAAGAUCACAGGACCUGGGACUUGUUUAUACCAAAGGUACAAUUUGCCAUAAAUAAUUCUGCAAAUGAAGUAACGGGUUACACUCCUUCGUUCCUUGUAUAUGCCAGAGACCUUGUGACUUGCGGUACGCAUUAUGUAGAUAGUGACCUCGGUAGGAACUUAAUGUUCUUACCACGUGACAUUUACGCCGAAAACCUAGGUUGCAUGUCUGAAAUAUUUGAUAAUGUACAGGCAAAGUUAUAUCAAGCUCAUGCAAAGAAUACCGCUCAUUAUAAUCUACGUCGUAAGCAUGUCGAAUUUAAUGUGGGAGAUAUAGUCAUGAAACGUGCUUAUGUUUUAAGUGACAAAGAUAAGUUCUUUAGUAAAAAACUAGCCCCGAAGUUUCUACAAUGUCGUAUUGUUGAGAAAAAGUCGCCUUUGGUUUAUGUUUUGGAGGACAUGUCUGGUAGGAAUUUAGGGACUUGGCACAUAAAAGAUUUAAAAUUAUCAAGCUUGAAUAAAUAAUGUUAGUAAAAAAAAAAAUUGUUGCAUUAAUUCCCAAAUCGCGCUGUUAACACCUAUCUUAGUGCAUGAAAUGUAUUUGUAUUGGUUUUCAGUUGAACGACAACUGAUUACCUACAAAAGUCUGGGCGCAUUAGCAUCUGUAGUUGAAAACUAGGUACUAAUGUUUUUUUAUGAUUGCGUGAUGUAUUUAUGAUAGAUAGAUUGAAAGAGUAAAUGCAAAUACGCAAACGUAUAUUGCGCGGAUUUUAUUCUGAGGAACAAAAUCCUUUUCCGGCGCGAGGGGGUAAUGUAACGUUGUACGUAUACGUAUAACGUACAUGUUUUAAUUAAGUACAAGUUUUAAUUAUAUUAUCUUCCCAACUUUAAAUAAUAUAUUUUUUCCUUAACGACUGUACUCGCGGCCGGUCCAGCGACUACGUCAUGGAAAGUUCGAGAUGCAGCGGGGCGAGCGCCUUGUCCUUCCGUUGACCGCCAGGGCAGCCAGUCCGCGCCACACCCGAUAAGAUACGCACGUACGGCCGCGCACACGGAGCAGUGUCGUCUCGCGCGCCGUACGAUUUUUAAAUUCUUAAUUUUAAUGUUUGUGAGCGCGGACAAUUAUAAUUAUUAUUCAUAAAAUUAAUCCGCGACGCUUUCGCGCAUUAUAGUUAAUCCCACACCCACGUACUGGGUGCGUCGUUAUUUUUAAAAAUAAUCUCCGGUCGAAGAGACCCUCGAGCCUUCACCACCUCGACGGCAGGGCUGGAGCCCUAGUCGUUCGCCCGCCGUCGCCUCGGCUCCUCUUCUGCGCUGUCGUGACACCCACCAGCUGCGGACCUUUCGACCAGCCAGGGCAGUACCACUCCGGGUGCAAAUUUAAGACCGGCCAUAGAGUUCCACGACCUUUUUUAUUAAAUUCUAGUUUUUUUUUAAAUAUAAUAAAAUACUUUUGUUAACGUA